rnacentral:rRNA from 1 species
GAGGAAUGUAUAGCAAUAGCUACUUGUAUCAUUAAUGAUGCAAGCUCGACUAUGUUGAAUAAAGUUCUAGGUAGAAUUAUGAUAAUGACAUUGUCUGCCUAUGUGUCUUGACCAAAUUACGUGCCAGCAGUCGCGGUAAUACGUAGAAGACUAGUGUUAUUCAUGUUUAAUCGGUUUAAAGGGUACCUAGACGGUGAAUCAAGCUUUAAAUUAAAUAAGAAAAGGGACUAAUUCGCUAGAGUUACUUACGAGGGGGUAUUAAAGUACUGCUGGUGUAGAGAUGAAAUUCUGUCAUACCUCUUUUCGAAAGAAAAAUCAUGGCACAGGUAUAGGCGAAGGCAUCCCCUUAUGUGAUAACUGACGUUGAGGGACGAAGGCUUCGUGUAACAAACAGGAUUAGAUACCCUAGUAGUUGAAGCAGAAAAUGAUGAAUGUCAUAGAUUAGACGUCUAAGUUUCUUCUAUAAAUGAAAGUGUAAGCAUUCCACCUCAGGAGUAAUUUGGCAACAUUGGAAUUGAAAUCAUUAGACCGUUUCUGAAACCAG